ACAGCAAAGCAGGAAAAGAACAGCACCAAGGCAAGGUAGUGAGCACCAAGAGGCCCAUCACCAAACCUCCCACCAAGGAAAAGUCAGUGCUCAACAGUGUCAGGACUGCACUGAGUGAGAAGAAGACUGUCCUGAAACCAAAGUCUCCUGAGAAAUCCAGACCUGAUGAGAAAGAUGUGGAAAAAUCUCCUGCUAAGAAAACUGAAGUCCCAGAAGAGAAGUACCUGACACUGGAGGGCUUCCAUAGAUUUGCUGUUGACCGGGCCAAGCAGGACAUCCGUAGUGUCUGGAGAGCAAUUUUGGCUUGUGGUUAUGACCUCCACUUUGAAAGGUGAGACUGGGGAAAGUCAACUGUAACUCA